GAUGAACGCUGGCGGCGUGCCUAAUACAUGCAAGUCGAGCGAACAGACGAGAGUGCUUGCACUCUCUGACGUUAGCGGCGGACGGGUGAGUAACACGUGGGUAACCUACCUAUAAGGCUGGGAUAACUUCGGGAAACCGGAGCUAAUACCGGAUAAUAUUUAGCUUCGCAUGAAGCAAUAGUGAAAGACGGUUCUGCUGUCACUUAUAGAUGGACCCGCGGUGUAUUAGCUAGUUGGUGAGGUAACGGCUCACCAAGGCAACGAUACAUAGCCGACCUGAGAGGGUGAUCGGCCACACUGGGACUGAGACACGGCCCAGACUCCUACGGGAGGCAGCAGUAGGGAAUCUUCCGCAGUGGACGAAAGUCUGACGGGGCAAUGCCGCGUGAGUGAAGAAGGUUUUCGGAUCGUAAAACUCUGUUGUAAGGGAAGAACAAGUACGUUAGUAACUGAACGUACCUUGACGGUACCUGACCAGAAAGCCACGGCUAACUACGUG
rnacentral:rRNA from 1 species